UACGGAGGGUGCAAGCGUUAAUCGGAAUUACUGGGCGUAAAGCGUGCGCAGGCGGUUUGUUAAGUCCGCUGUGAAAUCCCCGAGCUCAACUUGGGAAUUGCAGUGGAUACUGGCAAGCUGGAGUAUGGUAGAGGAAGGUGGAAUUCCCGGUGUAGCAGUGAAAUGCGUAGAGAUCGGGAGGAACACCAGUGGCGAAGGCGGCCUUCUGGACCA
rnacentral:rRNA from 1 species